rnacentral:rRNA from 1 species
CAUGCAGUCGAGGGGUAACAGAGAAGCUUGCUUCUGCUGACGACCGGCGCACGGGUGCGUAACGCGUAUGCAACCUACCUCAUACUGGAGAAUAGCCCUUGGAAACGAGGAUUAAUACUCCAUGGUAUCAUUCUUUCGCAUGUUAGAAUGAUUAAAGAAUUUCGGUAUGAGAUGGGCAUGCGUCCCAUUAGCUUGUUGGUGAGGUAACGGCUCACCAAGGCAACGAUGGGUAGGGGGCCUGAGAGGGUGGUCCCCCACACUGGUACUGAGACACGGACCAGACUCCUACGGGAGGCAGCAGUGAGGAAUAUUGGUCAAUGGAGGCAACUCUGAACCAGCCAUGCCGCGUGAAGGAUGACGGCCCUAUGGGUUGUAAACUUCUUUUAUAUGGGAAGAAACUUAUCUACGUGUAGAUAACUGACGGUACCAUACGAAUAAGGAUCGGCUAACUCCGUGCCAGCAGCCGCGGUAAUACGGAGGAUCCAAGCGUUAUCCGGAUUCAUUGGGUUUAAAGGGUCCGUAGGCGGAUUUUUAAGUCAGUGGUGAAAGCCGACAGCUCAACUGUCGAACUGCCAUUGAUACUGGAAAUCUUGAGUACAAAUGAAGUAGGCGGAAUGAGUCAUGUAGCGGUGAAAUGCAUAGAUAUGACUCANAACACCGAUUGCGAAGGCAGCUUACUAACAUGUAACUGACGCUGAGGGACGAAAGCGUGGGGAGCGAACAGGAUUAGAUACCCUGGUAGUCCACGCCGUAAACGAUCAUCACUCGCUGUUGGCNAUAUACUGUCAGCGGCCAANCGAAAGUAUUAAGUGAUGCACNUGGGGAGUACGC